CCCUUAGAUGUUCUGGGCCGCACGCGCGCUACACUGAUUCAUGCACUAAGUAUAUAACCUUGGUAGAAAUGCUUGGGUAAUCUUCGAAACUGAAUCGUGCUGGGGAUUGGAGCUUGUAAUUAUUCUCCAUGAACGAGGAAUUCCUAGUAAACGCGAGUCAUCAGCUCGCAUUGAUUACGUCCCUGCCCUUUGUACACACCGCCCGUCGCACCUACCGAUUGGAUGGUCCGGUGAAGCCUCGGGAUUGUGGUUCUUGCCGCUUUAUUGAGGCGUGACCGCGAGAACUUGUCUAAACCUUAUCAUCUAGAGGAAGGUGAAGUCGUAACA
rnacentral:rRNA from 1 species